rnacentral:rRNA from 1 species
CCUACGGGAGGCAGCAGUGAGGAAUAUUGGUCAAUGGACGAGAGUCUGAACCAGCCAAGUAGCGUGAAGGAUGACUGCCCUAUGGGUUGUAAACUUCUUUUAUAUGGGAAUAAAACAGGGUAUGCAUACCCUCUUGUAUGUACCAUAUGAAUAAGGAUCGGCUAACUCCGUGCCAGCAGCCGCGGUAAUACGGAGGAUCCGAGCGUUAUCCGGAUUUAUUGGGUUUAAAGGGAGCGUAGGUGGAUUGUUAAGUCAGUUGUGAAAGUUUGCGGCUCAACCGUAAAAUUGCAGUUGAUACUGGCAGUCGUGAGUACAGUAGAGGUGGGCGGAAUUCGUGGUGUAGCGGUGAAAUGCUUAGAGAUCACGAAGAACUCCGAUUGCGAAGGCAGCUCACUGGACUGCAACUGACACUGAUGCUCGAAAGUGUGGGUAUCAAACAGGAUUAGAUACCCUAGUAGUC